rnacentral:tmRNA from 1 species
GGGGACGAAAGGAUUUCGACUGUGAUAUUGAGCAUUAAUAAGCGAGUAGCGGAGUUGCACCGCUUUAAAAGUAACACUUUAAAAUUAACUGACAAUAAUAGAACAGUUUUAGCUGCUGCCUAAGUGCAGUCAGCCGUCGAUGCAGUGAGUGCCGCGGCACUGUAAUCGGCGUCAUUCAGCGGCGAACAUGAACGAAAAAACGGCUCGGUUUUCGUCAGGUAUCAGAGCCUACCGCAGCAAAACGCCUGUUGUUCGGCUUUUUGUGAGGGGAAUCUCAGUAGAGCAACUACACUCGUAGAAAGUUUUUGUAAGGUAUUGUAGGACGCGGUUUCGAUUACCGCCGUCUCCACCA